UGCCAGCAGCCGCGGUAAUACGGAGGGUGCAAGCGUUAAUCGGAAUUACUGGGCGUAAAGCGCGCGUAGGCGGAAUGUUAAGUCUCAUGUGAAAGCCCUGGGCUCAACCUGGGAACUGCAUGGGAUACUGGCAUUCUAGAAUACAGUAGAGGGAGGUGGAAUUUCAGGUGUAGCGGUGAAAUGCGUAGAGAUCUGAAGGAACAUCAGUGGCGAAGGCGUCUCUCUGGACCGAUACUGACGCUGAGGCGCGAAGGCGUGGGUAGCGAACAGGAUUAGAUA
rnacentral:rRNA from 1 species